AACGAACGCUGGCGGCAGGCCUAACACAUGCAAGUCGAACGCUCGUAGCAAUACGAGAGUGGCAGACGGGUGAGUAACACGUGGGAACCUUCCCUAUGGUUCGGAAUAGCUCAGGGAAACUUGGGGUAAUACCGGAUAAGCCCUUCGGGGGAAAGGAUUUAUCGCCAUUGGAUGGGCCCGCGUCGGAUUAGCUAGUUGGUGAGGUAACGGCUCACCAAGGCAACGAUCCGUAGCUGGUCUGAGAGGAUGAUCAGCCACACUGGGACUGAGACACGGCCCAGACUCCUACGGGAGGCAGCAGUGGGGAAUAUUGGACAAUGGGCGCAAGCCUGAUCCAGCCAUGCCGCGUGAGUGAUGAAGGCCUUCGGUUGUAAGACUC
rnacentral:rRNA from 1 species